rnacentral:misc_RNA from 1 species
GAUGAAGAACGUAGCGAAACGCGAUAAGUAAUGUGAAUUGCAGAAUUCAGUGAAUCAUCGAAUCUUUGAACGCACAUUGCGCCCGCCAGUAUUCUGGCGGGCAUGCCUGUUCGAGCGUCAUUUCAACCCUCAAGCCCCAGCGGCCUGGUGUUGGGGACCGGCGACCUCGCCCGAGCCCGCCCUCCGGGGCGCGUGCCCGGUGCGCCCGCCGCCCCCGAAAUGAAUUGGCGGCCUCGUCGCGGCCUCCUCUGCGUAGUAGCACAACCUCGCAAGCGGGAGCGCGACGCGGCCACUGCCGUAAAACGCCCAACUUUUUUAGAGUUGACCUCGGAUCAGGUAGGAAUACCCGCUGAACUUAAGCAUAUCAAUAAGCGGAGGA